rnacentral:rRNA from 1 species
GAACGCUAGCGGCAGGCUUAACACAUGCAAGUCGAGGGGCAUCGGGAGUAGCAAUACUUGCCGGCGACCGGCGCAAGGGUGCGUAACGCGUGAGCAACAUGCCCGUAUCAGGGGGAUAAUCCAUGGAAACGUGGUCUAAUACCCCAUAGUAAUUAUGUAAGGCAUCUUAUAUAAUUUAAAGCUUUGGUGGAUACGGAUUGGCUCGCGUGACAUUAGCUGGAUGGUAAGGUAACGGCUUACCAUGGCUACGAUGUCUAGGGGUUCUGAGAGGAAGGUCCCCCACACUGGAACUGAGACACGGUCCAGACUCCUACGGGAGGCAGCAGUGAGGAAUAUUGGACAAUGGAUGGAAAUCUGAUCCAGCCAUGCCGCGUGCAGGAAGAACCGGCCCUAUGGGUUGUAAACUGCUUUUGUAUGGGAGCAAUAAGGGCUACGUGUAGUCCGAUGAGAGUACCAUACGAAUAAGCACCGGCUAACUCCGUGCCAGCAGCAGC